rnacentral:rRNA from 1 species
UUGGGAGGAGCUCGCGGCCCAUUAGCUUGUUGGUGAGGUAACGGCUCACCAAGGCGACGAUGGGUAGCUGGUCUGAGAGGACGAUCAGCCACACUGGGACUGAGACACGGCCCAGACUCCUACGGGAGGCAGCAGUGGGGAAUCUUGCGCAAUGCGCGAAAGCGUGACGCAGCAACGCCGCGUGGGGGAAGACGGCCUUAGGGUUGUAAACCCCUUUCAGGAGGGACGAAGGUUCACCGGUUAAUAGCCGUGUGGAUUGACGGUACCUCCACAAGAAGCACCGGCUAACUACGUGCCAGCAGCCGCGGUAAUACGUAGGGUGCAAGCGUUGUCCGGAAUCAUUGGGCGUAAAGCGCGCGUAGGUGGCCAUUUAAGUCCGCUGUGAAAGUCAAAGGCUCAACCUUUGAAAGCCGGUGGAUACUGGAUGGCUAGAGUACGGAAGAGGCGAGUGGAAUUCCUGGUGUAGCGGUGGAAUGCGCAGAUAUCAGGAGGAACACCAAUAGCGAAGGCAGCU